AGCUAGUUGGUGAGGUAAAAGCUCACCAAGGCGACGAUCUGUAGCGGGUCUGAGAGGAUGAUCCGCCACACUGGAACUGAGACACGGUCCAGACUCCUACGGGAGGCAGCAGUGGGGAAUUUUGGACAAUGGGGGCAACCCUGAUCCAGCCAUGCCGCGUGAGUGAAGAAGGCCUUCGGGUUGUAAAGCUCUUUCAGCCGGGAAGAAAAUGUAUGGGUUAAUACCCUGUGCAGAUGACGGUACCGGAAUAAGAAGCACCGGCUAACUACGUGCCAGCAGCCGCGGUAAUACGUAGGGUGCGAGCGUUAAUCGGAAUUACUGGGCGUAAAGCGUGCGCAGGCGGUUUUGUAAGACAGGCGUGAAAUCCCCAGGCUUAACCUGGGAACUGCGUUUGUGACUGCAAGGCUAGAGUACGGCAGAGGGGGGUGGAAUUCCACGUGUAGCAGUGAAAUGCGUAGAGAUGUGGAGGAACACCAAUGGCGAAGGCAGCCCCCUGGGUCGAUACUGACGCUCAUGCACGAAAGCGUGGGUAGCAAACAGGAUUAGAUACCCUGGUAGUCCACGCCCUAAACGAUGUCAACUAGGUGUUGGGAGGGUAAAACCUUUUAGUACCGUAGCUAACGCGAGAAGUUGACCGCCUGGGGAGUACGGCCGCAAGGUUAAAACUCAAAGGAAUUGACGGGGACCCGCACAAGCGGUGGAUGAUGUGGAUUAAUUCGAUGCAACGCGAAAAACCUUACCUACCCUUGACAUGUCAGGAACUUUCCAGAGAUGGAUUGGUGCCCGAAAGGGAACCUGAACACAGGUGCUGCAUGGCUGUCGUCAGCUCGUGUCGUGAGAUGUUGGGUUAAGUCCCGCAACGAGCGCAACCCUUGUCGUUAAUUGCCAUCAUUUAGUUGGGCACUUUAACGAGACUGCCGGUGACAAACCGGAGGAAGGUGGGGAUGACGUCAAGUCCUCAUGGCCCUUAUGGGUAGGGCUUCACACGUCAUACAAUGGUCGGUACAAAGGGUCGCCAACCCGCGAGGGGGAGCCAAUCCCAUAAAGCCGAUCGUAGUCCGGAUUGCAGGCUGCAACUCGCCUGCAUGAAGUCGGAAUCGCUAGUAAUCGUGGAUCAGCAUGUCACGGUGAAUACGUUCCCGGGUCUUGUACACACCGCCCGUCACACCAUGGGAGCGGGUUCCGCCAGAAGUAGGUAGCCUAACCGCAAGGGGGGCGCUUACCACGGCGGGGUUCGUGACUGGGGUGAAGUCGUAACAAGGUAGCCGUAGGGGAACCUGCGGCUG
rnacentral:rRNA from 1 species